rnacentral:lncRNA from 1 species
AGACAGGGCAGCAGAGUCUCCAGAAAGUCUGUGGAACCACAAUGGAGAGCACACCCUCUGAGUGCAGAGAUGGAGUCAAUUACAAGUCGCCGCUGUAACAAGCAACCCGUUGGCUUAGAUUCCUUAAGCCAGUGUUUGCAUGUGUUCUGAAAGGGUGAAGUGGGAACGAAAGUCACUGUUGUCCUUUAUCUGAUGAGGAGUCGAGUUACUGAGCAUCUGAGCAUCACAGAGAUAGGAGCCUGACAUAACGGACACUACUCCAUCUGUGCGGGAGAAGACCCCACGCCACUCCUGCCAGGACCACGGGGAGGAAGGAAACUCGACAUCCAGAGCCAUGAUGGGCAUCGUCACAUAGAUGUGCCCAUAGGAAGGCUGAAGGAAGGUGCUUUCUCUGCCACCAUGCACUGUGUGUUCAUUUCCUUUAACCUUCCGAGGACUGUGAUAUAGGCAUUGUUUCCAUCCCACAGGUGAGAAGACUGAGGCCCAGAGGUUAUGGAACAGUUCUGGGUUGUAAAUGGCAGAGGCAGAUGGCCUACCUGGAGGAUCUAAGCAGAGCCUUCCUUGUAACCCCUCAUGCCAUCAUGGAAGAAAGCUCAAGGGAGGGCAAAGGGUUUUUUUGUUUGUUUGGUUGGUUGGUUGGUUGGUUUGUUUUGUUUUUUUAAGUUAUUACAUUUUCUUCUUCUAUUUAAAUUUGCUUUAAUUGUUUUUGUUUGUUUGUUUGUUUGUUUUGUUUUUGGGCCAGGCUGGGUGGUUGUAGGUUUAUGGGUACGUCUGUACCAUGCCGUACAAGUAGAAUUGAGAGAACAAUGUGUAGAAAUCUGUUCUCUCUUUCCAACAUGUGGGUCCCUGUGAUACCACCCAGGUCAUGAGGCUUGACUUGGCAUCGAAUGCUUUAACCAGCUGAGCCAUCUGCUAGCCUCAGGGCACAGUUUCCAAUCUCGGCUGGGCUUCUGCCAUUUGUCUCGUACACAUUUCUUUCUCUUCCUGCAUUUCAAAUAACACCUGCUUCACAGAGAACAUGGGAGGAGCACAGGAGAAGAUGUACAUGGGAGCCUAUUGCACCUGCUUCACAGAGUAGCGGGGGGACUGCAUUAGAAGAUGCACCUGUGAGCUGCCUAUGCAGACCAGUGAGUGUGUGGAGAUGGCAGCCACAACUGUUGCUGGAGAAACAGGGGCAAUAACAAAACUGCAGAUCCUCUGGAAGCUUAGAUUAGUGCUUAUAAAGUUAUCCACAUUUCUCAGAAUUAUAUUAUCAGGAAUGCACGCAUUUCAAAUGAUUCAUAUUUAACUAGAUUACACACUUAAAUCACUUGCUCAAGAGCAACCCCGAGACACCGUUUUAUUUUGAGGAGUUUCUCGUUGACAUUUUUUGCCCUUGCUUUUAUUUUUGAGACAACAUCCCAUGUAUCCCAGACUGCCCUGGAUUCUGCUGCUUCUUCCCAAGGACUUUAAGGCAUGUCACACCAUACUCAACUCUAACGUUGCUAUUGAAAAAUAAGCAUCCUUCUCAAAGAGCUGAACAUAUGUCACCGAAGGGAAUCAAACAUUAAGGCCUUUAUAUUGCUUUCUAAACAACUCAGAGAGAGACUAAAACGAUCAACAAAACCUGGU